rnacentral:rRNA from 1 species
GGGUAUGUUAAUAGCAUACUCAUUUGACGUUAGCUGCAGAAGAAGCACCGGCUAACUCCGUGCCAGCAGCCGCGGUAAUACGGAGGGUGCGAGCGUUAAUCGGGAAUUACUGGGCGUAAAGCGCAUGCAGGUGGUUUGUUAAGUCAGAUGUGAAAAGCCCGGGGCUCAACCUCGGAAUUGCAUUUGAAACUGGCAAACUAGAGUACUGUAGAGGGGGUAGAAUUUCAGGUGUAGCGGUGAAAUGCGUAGAGAUCUGAAGGAAUACCGGUGGCGAAGGCGGCCCCCUGGACAGAUACUGACACUCAGAUGCGAAAGCGUGGGGAGCAAACAGGAUUAGAUACCCUGGUAG